rnacentral:rRNA from 1 species
UACGAAGGGGGCGAGCGUUGUUCGGAAUUACUGGGCGUAAAGGGCGCGCAGGCGGCUCUGAAAGUCAGAUGUGAAAUCCCUCGGCUUAACCGGGGAACUGCGUCUGAUACUGGAUGGCUUGAGUUUGGGAGAGGGACGCGGAAUUCCAGGUGUAGCGGUGAAAUGCGUAGAUAUCUGGAGGAACACCGGUGGCGAAGGCGGCGUCCUGGACCAACACUGACACUGAUGAGCGAAAGCCAGGGGAGCAAACGGG